AUGCAGCUGACGAGUUCCAAAUAGGAUGAAACACGCGUCCUGGAU
rnacentral:hammerhead_ribozyme from 1 species